rnacentral:rRNA from 1 species
CUACGGAGGAUCCAAGCGUUAUCCGGAAUCAUUGGGUUUAAAGGGUCCGUAGGCGGGUUUGUAAGUCAGUGGUGAAAGUUUUCGGCUCAACCGGAAAAUUGCCAUUGAUACUGCAAGUCUUGAAUCAUUAUGAAGUGGUUAGAAUGUGUAGUGUAGCGGUGAAAUGCAUAGAUAGUACACAGAAUACCGAUUGCGAAGGCAGAUCACUAAUAAUGUAUUGACGCUAAGGGACGAAAGCGUGGGUAGCGAACAGGAUUAGAUACCCUAGUAGGCC